UGUGGAUUCUUCGCUCGUGGCGCAGGAACCCGGUGCGAGUCCGGGGCGGUUCCGCCACUGUGAGACCCCCGUCACGGGGGUCCAGCCAGACACUGGCCGCGAGCGGUCCGACCGC
rnacentral:ncRNA from 2 species